rnacentral:rRNA from 1 species
GGUGAACGCUGGCGGUAGGCCUAACACAUGCAAGUCGAACGGCAGCACAGUAAGAGCUUGCUCUUACGGGUGGCGAGUGGCGGACGGGUGAGGAAUACAUCGGAAUCUACUUUUUCGUGGGGGAUAACGUAGGGAAACUUACGCUAAUACCGCAUACGACCUACGGGUGAAAGCAGGGGAUCUUCGGACCUUGCGCGAUUGAAUGAGCCGAUGUCGGAUUAGCUAGUUGGCGGGGUAAAGGCCCACCAAGGCGACGAUCCGUAGCUGGUCUGAGAGGAUGAUCAGCCACACUGGAACUGAGACACGGUCCAGACUCCUACGGGAGGCAGCAGUGGGGAAUAUUGGACAAUGGGCGCAAGCCUGAUCCAGCCAUACCGCGUGGGUGAAGAAGGCCUUCGGGUUGUAAAGCCCUUUUGUUGGGAAAGAAAAGCAGCAGGUUGAUACCCCGCUGUUCUGACGGUACCCAAAGAAUAAGCACCGGCUAACUUCGUG